CGUAGCGAAAGCUACGCUAAUACCGCAUACGUCCUGAGGGAGAAAGCGGGGGAUCUUCGGACCUCGCGCGAUUGGAGCGGCCGAUGUCGGAUUAGCUAGUAGGUGGGGUAAAGGCCCACCUAGGCGACGAUCCGUAGCGGGUCUGAGAGGAUGAUCCGCCACACUGGGACUGAGACACGGCCCAGACUCCUACGGGAGGCAGCAGUGGGGAAUUUUGGACAAUGGGCGCAAGCCUGAUCCAGCCAUGCCGCGUGAGUGAAGAAGGCCUUCGGGUUGUAAAGCUCUUUCGGCCGGGAAGAAAUCGUGGUCUCUAACAUAGGCCAUGGAUGACGGUACCGGACUAAGAAGCACCGGCUAACUACGUG
rnacentral:rRNA from 1 species